AAACUCGGAUUAAUACCUGAUAUUCUUUACAUUUCGCAUGAAAUCAAAAGGAAAGGUCAGCCGAACUAAGAUGAGCUCGCGUUCUAUCAGCUAGUUGGUGAGGUAAAAGCUCACCAAGGCAACGACGGAUAGCUGGUCUGAGAGGACGAUCAGCCACACUGGGACUGAGACACGGCCCAGACUCCUACGGGAGGCUGCAGCAGGGAAUAUUGCGCAAUGAGCGAAAGCUUGACGCAGCGACACCGCGUGUGGGAUGACGGAUCUAGGUUUGUAAACCACUUUCAGGAGGGAAGAAAAUGACGGUACCUCCACAAGAAGCCCCGGCCAACUACGUGCCAGCAGCCGCGGUAAUACGUAGGGGGCGAGCGUUGUCCGGAUUUAUUGGGCGUAAAGAGCUCGUAGGCGGUUCAACAAGUCGGUCGUAAAAGUUCAGGGCUCAACCCUGAAAUGUCGAUCGAUACUGUUGUGACUAGGAUACGGUAGAGGUGAGUGGAAUUCCGAGUGUAGCGGUGAAAUGCGUAGAUAUUCGGAGGAACACCAAUUGCGAAGGCAGCUCACUGGGCCGCUAUCGACGCUGAGGAGCGAAAGCUAGGGGAGCAAACAGGAUUAGAUACCCUGGUAGUCCUAGCUGUAAACGAUGGAUACUAGACGUAGGAACUGGAUUGACGGUUUCUGUGUCGUAGCUAACGCGUUAAGUAUCCCGCCUGGGGAGUACGGUCGCAAGACUAAAACUCAAAGGAAUUGACGGGACCCCGCACAAGCGGCGGAGCAUGCGGCUUAAUUCGAUGAUACCCGUAGAACCUUACCUGGACUUGACAUAUAGGGUCUAGCUAUAGAGAUAUAGUGUGCAUUAGCGCCCUAUACAGGUGGUGCAUGGCUGUCGUCAGCUCGUGUCGUGAGAUGUUGGGUUAAGUCCCGCAACGAGCGCAA
rnacentral:rRNA from 1 species